AUGGACACGAUUCUCAUUGCGGAUCUUGGAUCCGGGGCCGAUGACUUUGAAGAGGAAGCUAUACAGUACUUUUAUGACACCGAUCGGCCUACCGCGACAAUCUCAGACCAAAGCGAGGACACGAAUGAGGAGAUGGGGUACAUAGAGCGGACGUUUGAAAGCGGAUGCGGAUGUACGAAGAAGUGUUUCCUUAAACUUGCCUCCUUCAAAGAUCAGGCAUAUUCCUUGAUUUUAAGACUUCGAGAAUAUACAAAAGAAGCUGCUGUAUUGUUUAUCAAGAGAUAUGCGGAUUGCCUUUACCUGCUGCCCCAAGAGCCCGUGACGACACAGCUCCUGUACUGUUGCCAUGCAGUGAUAGUAAAGUGUCAACCUAAAAACGUCCAAAUUUUCGGCAUCUGUGAUGAGAACUUUUCCGUUCUGACAAACUACCUCAUCGAUGAGAGUGAAACGAUAGGGGAAAACGGAAGCAAAACACAUGGACCUAAUGCAGUUUUAAGCAUAGUACAUCAUUACUUAAAUGCCAGCAGUUAUGGAGAAAUAGCGUGCAUUUUCAUGCAGAUAACUGUGUUGGACAGAAUAAAAACAAAACGACACUGCAUUAUCUUGCGUGGGCUGCUGUACUGGACGACAUAAAGAAAUCCAACCUCAUUUCAUGAUUGCUGGUCACACGAAAUGCCUUUGUGAUUCCUGUUUCGGCAUGCUCAAGAAGAUAUUCCGCAGAUCGGAGGUGAAUGGCAUCGACGAACUUGAAACAGUUGUGGAAAAUUCCGCAAAAUGCAACACCGCGGCACGAUUUGGAG
rnacentral:sRNA from 1 species